CCCUUAGAUGUUCUGGGCCGCACGCGCGCUACAAUGAUGAAUUCAACGAGUUUAUAACCUUGGUUGAAAAGCCUGGGUAAUCUUUUGAACCUUCGUCGUGAUGGGGCUAGACCCUUGCAAUUAUUGGUCUCCAACGAGGAAUUCCUAGUAAACGCAAGUCAUCAGCUUGCAUUGAUUACGUCCCUGCCCUUUGUACACACCGCCCGUCGCACCUACCGAUUGAAUGGUCCGGUGAAAUCUUCGGAUUGAGACUUUGAUUUGUUUACUCAAAACGCUGUUUCAAGAAGUUGAUUAAACCUUACCAUUUAGAGGAAGGUGAAGUCGUAACA
rnacentral:rRNA from 1 species